GUUCUGUGUUGUUUGUUCACAAAUCACUAACUAAACAAACCAGUUUUCACGGUCAGUAACCCAUACCCCCAUAUUCCUCAUUCAAUACUCAACAAUUCAUUAAAACAAUGUUCAAUUAAGCCACACAAAACGAUGGAUAUCGUCGCCCUCUGUUUUCCAGCGAUACCCAUUUUGUUUUCCGGUGAUACCCAUUAAUCCACACAAAAAAAAUAGCUAAUCAAGGAUAUCGGCCCUCCGUUUUCCGGCGAUACCCAUUUGCAGAAAGAUUGCCGGAAACUGCCGUUAACCUGCAACCAAUCAUACCGUCGAUUCAGCACCUAAAAACGACAAUUGUAUAUCCUAGAUGGUCGCCCUCGUUUAAUUUGAUGGUCGCCCUCCGGUGGAAGAUCGAAGGCGGUGGUUGGUGGUGGUUCCGUCGCUGGCGAUGGAUUAUUUCCGGCAGAAAUAAGACUCACGACUCAAAGUCACUGAGAUUUUAAACAAAAGGACCGAUUGGUUGUGGCAGAUCCUUGAGUUGAGAUUGGCAUAUGCCUAAAGAUUGUGGUGGAGAGUAGGCAGUGGUGAGCGGUUAAUGGUGUGGGUGGUUUGAAGGAGAGUGUAGGACGACGGGAAAUAAAAGAGUGAUGAAAAAUGACAUUUUUGCCCUCACAUGAGGUGUAUGUGACUUCACUUAACGCUGAAAAUAAAUGGGGUUAGUGCCAAAGGACCGAGGGUGAAAUGGUUAUAAGAAAAAAAAAGGAUUGUGACUGUAAUUAUUGAAGUUAAAGGACAUCCAUU
rnacentral:lncRNA from 1 species